AUUGAACGCUGGCGGCAUGCCUUACACAUGCAAGUCGAACGGUAACAGGUCUUCGGAUGCUGACGAGUGGCGAACGGGUGAGUAAUACAUCGGAACGUGCCCGAUCGUGGGGGAUAACGAAGCGAAAGCUUUGCUAAUACCGCAUACGAUCUACGGAUGAAAGCAGGGGACCGCAAGGCCUUGCGCGAACGGAGCGGCCGAUGGCAGAUUAGGUAGUUGGUGGGAUAAAAGCUUACCAAGCCGACGAUCUGUAGCUGGGCUGAGAGGACGACCAGCCACACUGGGACUUAGACACGGCCCAGACUUCUUCGGGAGGGCGCCGUUGGGAAUUUUGGACAAUGGGCGAAAGCCUGAACCAAGCAAGCCGGGUUCAGGAUUGAGGGCUUCCGGUUGUAAACUGCUUUUUGUACGAACCAAAAGACUCUGGUUAAUACCUGGGGUCCAUGACGGUACCGUAAGAAUAAGCACCGGCUAACUACGUG
rnacentral:rRNA from 1 species